UACGGAGGGUGCGAGCGUUGUCCGGAUUUAUUGGGUUUAAAGGGUGCGUAGGUGGCUUGAUAAGUCAGUGGUGAAAUACGGUUGCUCAACAAUCGAGGUGCCAUUGAUACUGUUAAGCUUGAAAUAAUUGGAGGCUGCCGGAAUGGAUGGUGUAGCGGUGAAAUGCAUAGAUAUCAUCCAGAACACCGAUUGCGAAGGCAGGUGGCUACGAUUUGUUUGACACUGAGGCACGAAAGCAUGGGGAG
rnacentral:rRNA from 1 species